UAAAUGCAAGAUAAAUCCAACAAAUAGUGAAUCAAAAUCAACAAUAAAAAUUAUAAACAUAAAACCAAAAAAUAAAAAGAAAAAAUCUUGAAGCAAGCACUUGUUUAUCACUAUUUUCAACUAGUUUAGAAACUUCAAAGGGUAAACAUAUAAAGCCACAAUGAACUCAUCAUCUUUGUUGACAUAUCUGGAUCUUGAAGAGUCACAAUCUUCAUGCAAGACAAUCACUAUUGAAUGACAAGGUGGAGUCACUGGAAUUACCGGUAGAGCCUGCUCAUCAUCUUCAUUGAAGGAGGGGCGGGCUUCGUUGGUGUCGCAAGGGAGCAGGCUCCUUUACUGGUGUCACAAGGGAUGAAGCUUCGUUACUGUUGUAAGGGAGAAAGCUACGUUGGCGUCGCAAGGGAGGAUACUUCAUUGGUGUUGCAGGGAACGAGGCUCUUUGUUGUUCUCUCAAGUUAGUCGAUAAUGGAAGAAGAAAGGAGCAUUUGG
rnacentral:misc_RNA from 1 species